UGUGUUUCUAUCGUUUCGUAG
rnacentral:piRNA from 1 species